rnacentral:rRNA from 1 species
UCCGUAGGUGAACCUGCGGAAGGAUCAUUAAUUGUAUAACGGGGGCCGGCGAGGGAUUGCGCACUUCGGUGCGCCUUUCUUCCCCGCCCUGUCUGAUACUACCCAUGUCUUUUGCGUACCAAUUGUUUCCUCGGUGGGCUUGCCCGCCGGUUGGACACUAUAAAACCUUUUGUAAUUGCAGUCAGCGUCAGAAAAACAUAAUAAUUACAACUUUCAACAACGGAUCUCUUGGUUCUGGCAUCGAUGAAGAACGCAGCGAAAUGCGAUAAGUAGUGUGAAUUGCAGAAUUCAGUGAAUCAUCGAAUCUUUGAACGCACAUUGCGCCCCUUGGUAUUCCAUGGGGCAUGCCUGUUCGAGCGUCAUUUGUACCCUCAAGCUCUGCUUGGUGUUGGGUGUUUGUCCCGCUUUGCGCGUGGACUCGCCUUAAAGCAAUUGGCAGCCGGCAAUCUGGUUAUAGAGCGCAGCACAUUUUGCGCUUCUUGCCAUGGAUGUCGGCAUCCAUCAAGUACAUUUUUUUUGCUCUUGACCUCGGAUCAGGUAGGGAUACCCGCUGAACUUAAGCAUAUCAAUAAGCGGAGGA